ACCUGUUUUGUAAGAGCGUUACACGCUCAAUUUAACAACAAGUCUACCCCCUGAAGUGCAUGAAAUGCUAUAAAGGACUGGGACAUUGGCAGGACUCAGGCACCCUGUAAAAUAGAUUUAACCCGUGUCCAAAGUCUGGAGCUGGCGAGGAAGGCUUGCACCUUUGUGCUGUAUUUAUAGCAGCAUCCUUUAAACAGCGAAACCCCGAGACCCUCCAAAACGGGGGGUUUCUGCUGGCGCUGGCUGAGAGGAGCAAGGAAUCGAUGUGUUUAUUUGCGGAGCUUUCCUGCCAAUGAGGGCUAACCUUGAAAAUAUGUGCUAUACCAUGCUUCCGAGCAAGAAGUGACCUCUCAGAACACUGGACCUAGAGCCUUCAGGGAAUUAAGGAUUAUCUUCUACAACUUUGAAUCCACCCGGAGAUCAAUGCCUUGUGUUGGCAAAUUGUGUUAAUGAGAGAGAAAUCUUCAAGCUGUUAAAUAAUGACCCAUUAAAGUAACAUAUGUGCUGGCAAACGAGACUGCACCAAGGACUGAGAGAAGCAGCUUCUGUAGAAAUCUACAAGACUCUUGAGUUCACUUCAGCUUGGAUGGUGUUCUGAAGCUACUGAAGGAGAAGAGAACAAGAGUGAGGAAAAUACAUGGAAAGAAGAUGCCUUUCAGAAGUGUGCAGCUCUGCCUCUGACAGAGGGUAAGAAGGUACCACAACCUGCUCACAGAAAUGAAGGUGAUCUGGUGUCUUGAGAAGUUUUUUCAGAAUCCCAGGAAGUCGUGAUUACAUGGCAUGAGUUUUCCAUUUUCAAAAGAACAGAUUAAAAGCAUGAAAGUCCUCUUAGCAGUUUUUGGGAAGAAAAAAACUAUUUCUGGUUACUAGUAAACUCUGCUGUUCUUUGAGAAAUACUGUAACAUUCCUUCAAGAUAAUAUGCAAUUAUAGCACUGUAAAUGCCAGAAAAAUUAUAAUGUCAAUAACACUGAAAAAGUCUUGCAAAAUAUUAAAUGCCUUUCCUAACCAC